GAUUUAUUGGGCGUAAAGCGAGCGCAGGCGGUUUGAUAAGUCUGAAGUUAAAGGCUGUGGCUCAACCAUAGUUCGCUUUGGAAACUGUCAAACUUGAGUGCAGAAGGGGAGAGUGGAAUUCCAUGUGUAGCGGUGAAAUGCGUAGAUAUAUGGAGGAACACCGGUGGCGAAAGCGGCUCUCUGGUCUGUAACUGACGCUGAGGCUCGAAAGCGUGGGGAGCGAACAGGAUUAGAUACCCUGGUAGUCCACGCCGUAAACGAUGAGUGCUAGGUGUUGGAUCCUUUCCGGGAUUCAGUGCCGCAGCUAACGCAUUAAGCACUCCGCCUGGGGAGUACGACCGCAAGGUUGAAACUCAAAGGAAUUGACGGGGGCCCGCACAAGCGGUGGAGCAUGUGGUUUAAUUCGAAGCAACGCGAAGAACCUUACCAGGUCUUGACAUCCCGAUGCUAUUUCUAGAGAUAGAAAGUUACUUCGGUACAUCGGUGACAGGUGGUGCAUGGUU
rnacentral:rRNA from 1 species